UACAGAGGGGGCAAGCGUUAUUCGGAAUUAUUGGGCGUGAAGGGCGCGUAGGCGGUGUUUUAAGUCGGAUGUGUAAUCCCCGAGCUUAACUUGGGAACUGCAUCCGAGACUGGAACGCUGGAGUGCUGGAGAGGGUGGUGGAAUUCCACGUGUAGCGGUGAAAUGCGUAGAGGUGUGGAGGAACACCAGUGGCGAAGGCGGCCACCUGGACAGUAACUGACGCUGAGGCGCGAAAGUGUGGGGAG
rnacentral:rRNA from 1 species